rnacentral:rRNA from 1 species
CCUACGGGAGGCAGCAGUAGGGAAUCUUUCACAAUGGGCGAAAGCCUGAUGGAGCAACGCCGCGUGCAGGAUGAAGGCCUUCGGGUUGUAAACUGCUUUUAUUAGCGAGAAAUAUGAUGGUAACUUAUGAAUAAGGAUCGGCUAACUACGUGCCAGCAGCCGCGGUCAUACGUAGGAUCCGAGCAUUAUCCGGAGUGACUGGGUGUAAAGAGUUUCGUAGGUGGCAUAAUAAGUAGCUAGUGAAAUCUGGUGGCUCAACCAUUCAGACUAUUAGCUAAACUGUUAAGCUCGAGACCGUUAGGGGUAACUGGAAUUUCUAGUGUAGGAGUGAAAUCCGUAGAUAUUAGAAGGAACACCAAUAGCGUAGGCAGGUUGCUGGGACGGUUCUGACACUAAGGCACGAAAGCGUAGGGAGCAAACGGGAUUAGAUACCCGGGUAGUC